rnacentral:rRNA from 1 species
CUGUGAGCUCGAUGAGUAGGGCGGGACACGUGGUAUCCUGUCUGAAUAUGGGGGGACCAUCCUCCAAGGCUAAAUACUCCUGACUGACCGAUAGUGAACCAGUACCGUGAGGGAAAGGCGAAAAGAACCCCGGCGAGGGGAGUGAAAAAGAACCUGAAACCGUGUACGUACAAGCAGUGGGAGCACGCUUAGGCGUGUGACUGCGUACCUUUUGUAUAAUGGGUCAGCGACUUAUAUUCUGUAGCAAGGUUAACCGAAUAGGGGAGCCGAAGGGAAACCGAGUCUUAACUGGGCGUUAAGUUGCAGGGUAUAGACCCGAAACCCGGUGAUCUAGCCAUGGGCAGGUUGAAGGUUGGGUAACACUAACUGGAGGACCGAACCGACUAAUGUUGAAAAAUUAGCGGAUGACUUGUGGCUGGGGGUGAAAGGCCAAUCAAACCGGGAGAUAGCUGGUUCUCCCCGAAAGCUAUUUAGGUAGCGCCUCGUGAAUUCAUCUCCGGGGGUAGAGCACUGUUUCGGCAAGGGGGUCAUCCCGACUUACCAACCCGAUGCAAACUGCGAAUACCGGAGAAUGUUAUCACGGGAGACACACGGCGGGUGCUAACGUCCGUCGUGAAGAGGGAAACAACCCAGACCGCCAGCUAAGGUCCCAAAGUCAUGGUUAAGUGGGAAACGAUGUGGGAAGGCCCAGACAGCCAGGAUGUUGGCUUAGAAGCAGCCAUCAUUUAAAGAAAGCGUAAUAGCUCACUGGUCGAGUCGGCCUGCGCGGAAGAUGUAACGGGGCUAAACCAUGCACCGAAGCUGCGGCAGCGACGCUGAUGCGUUGUUGGGUAGGGGAGCGUUCUGUAAGCCUGCGAAGGUGUGCUGUGAGGCAUGCUGGAGGUAUCAGAAGUGCGAAUGCUGACAUAAGUAACGAUAAAGCGGGUGAAAAGCCCGCUCGCCGGAAGACCAAGGGUUCCUGUCCAACGUUAAUCGGGGCAGGGUGAGUCGACCCCUAAGGCGAGGCCGAAAGGCGUAGUCGAUGGGAAACAGGUUAAUAUUCCUGUACUUGGUGUUACUGCGAAGGGGGGACGGAGAAGGCUAUGUUGGCCGGGCGACGGUUGUCCCGGUUUAAGCGUGUAGGCUGGUUUUCCAGGCAAAUCCGGAAAAUCAAGGCUGAGGCGUGAUGACGAGGCACUACGGUGCUGAAGCAACAAAUGCCCUGCUUCCAGGAAAAGCCUCUAAGCAUCAGGUAACAUCAAAUCGUACCCCAAACCGACACAGGUGGUCAGGUAGAGAAUACCAAGGCGCUUGAGAGAACUCGGGUGAAGGAACUAGGCAAAAUGGUGCCGUAACUUCGGGAGAAGGCACGCUGAUAUGUAGGUGAAGUCCCUCGCGGAUGGAGCUGAAAUCAGUCGAAGAUACCAGCUGGCUGCAACUGUUUAUUAAAAACACAGCACUGUGCAAACACGAAAGUGGACGUAUACGGUGUGACGCCUGCCCGGUGCCGGAAGGUUAAUUGAUGGGGUUAGCGCAAGCGAAGCUCUUGAUCGAAGCCCCGGUAAACGGCGGCCGUAACUAUAACGGUCCUAAGGUAGCGAAAUUCCUUGUCGGGUAAGUUCCGACCUGCACGAAUGGCGUAAUGAUGGCCAGGCUGUCUCCACCCGAGACUCAGUGAAAUUGAACUCGCUGUGAAGAUGCAGUGUACCCGCGGCAAGACGGAAAGACCCCGUGAACCUUUACUAUAGCUUGACACUGAACAUUGAGCCUUGAUGUGUAGGAUAGGUGGGAGGCUUUGAAGUGUGGACGCCAGUCUGCAUGGAGCCGACCUUGAAAUACCACCCUUUAAUGUUUGAUGUUCUAACGUUGACCCGUGAUCCGGGUUGCGGACAGUGUCUGGUGGGUAGUUUGACUGGGGCGGUCUCCUCCUAAAGAGUAACGGAGGAGCACGAAGGUUGGCUAAUCCUGGUCGGACAUCAGGAGGUUAGUGCAAUGGCAUAAGCCAGCUUGACUGCGAGCGUGACGGCGCGAGCAGGUGCGAAAGCAGGUCAUAGUGAUCCGGUGGUUCUGAAUGGAAGGGCCAUCGCUCAACGGAUAAAAGGUACUCCGGGGAUAACAGGCUGAUACCGCCCAAGAGUUCAUAUCGACGGCGGUGUUUGGCACCUCGAUGUCGGCUCAUCACAUCCUGGGGCUGAAGUAGGUCCCAAGGGUAUGGCUGUUCGCCAUUUAAAGUGGUACGCGAGCUGGGUUUAGAACGUCGUGAGACAGUUCGGUCCCUAUCUGCCGUGGGCGCUGGAGAACUGAGGGGGGCUGCUCCUAGUACGAGAGGACCGGAGUGGACGCAUCACUGGUGUUCGGGUUGUCAUGCCAAUGGCACUGCCCGGUAGCUAAAUGCGGAAGAGAUAAGUGCUGAAAGCAUCUAAGCACGAAACUUGCCCCGAGAUGAGUUCUCCCUGACUCCUUGAGAGUCCUGAAGGAACGUUGAAGACGACGACGUUGAUAGGCCGGGUGUGUAAGCGCAGCGAUGCGUUGAGCUAACCGGUACUAAUGAACCGUGAGGCUUAACCUUACAACGCCGAAG